AGAGUCUUAAGUUAAUUAUAAACUUUGGGCCUUCAAAGCCCAAAAUGAAGGUUAAACUCCUUCAGACUCUG
rnacentral:tRNA from 1 species